GUGGAAUUUUUGUAAAAUUCUCCCAGCCCCGGUUAUAUGAAGAUCCUCUCUCUGCUCAUAAGGCCGUGCCACCUUUUUCUAUUUUCUAUUUCAUGUUUACUGUAAAAUUAAUCACCUGACUGACUACUCUUGAAAUUACCUUGACUGCAUUUGUCCAAUGUUUGUGUUUUCGAUAUACAUGUAACUCUGUAUUUUGGUUGGUGGUGUCAGAGUUUAGGCACAUUUUUCUUAAUGAAACUUUGUCAUGUGUCUUUCACGUUUUCACUCCUUUAGAUUUGACAGUUGAAUGGUGCAAAUGGGAGUUUGGAUUCAGAGAAGUUGUGGAAACCACCUCCAAACAGAGACUAUGUACCUUGUGUUGCCCCAAGUUCAUCCUAUGCGUGUAAGAAAUGUUGGGUGUUUCAUACUGCAUAUCUAAUAGAGUUUUCUCCUCCUUUGUAGCUCGUGUUAGAUAUCCAUCUGUGGCUUAUUUUCUGUAUUGCAAUAUAAUCUUCAGCUCCUCCAGAAUCUCGAGGUUACCUGCUGGUUGAUGCAAAUGGCGGCCUCAAUCAAAUGAGAGCUGGGGUCUCUCUCUCUCUCUCUGAUGCUAAUGCUAUUUUAUUUAAUUCUUGAUCAGCUUCUGUUGUCUUUUGUAAUUAUACAUUGGCUUAUCUGUAUAUCUAUUUUUUGUAAACAUGAAUCCAAUGUAUGAAUAAGUAGAUAGAUAGAUCAAAAUAUAAGAUGUAAUAUAUCUUUAUGCUUUUGUAAUUUGGUGGUUUGCAUAAUGUUUAAAAACUAGAAUAGUGUGAAGCUAUGAUAUAACUUCCCUCAGCAGUUAACUAGAAGAUAAAUGGAACUUGGGGACGCAACACAAGAAUUUGUAGUGGAUUUUAAAUUCAUUUCAGAUACAUCCUUGACUGGAAAAACUAAUGAUCUGAAUGUUCUCAAUUUAAUCAUAGUUGUAAAUUUGAGACCUAC
rnacentral:lncRNA from 1 species